AUUCCUUCGAUUACAAUUCCUCUCCACUAAACUUACAACCUUGCAAUAAACAGUGACUGGAAACUUCCAUACAUCCUCAAUCUUUCACAACAAUUGAUAAACAGUGAUCCAUAAACAACUUUGUAAAUCAAAUAUUAAUUCAUUAAAUCGAUUCUCUUCACUAGAAUCAACACUAACACAAAAGAAAUAAGAAAACUAAGAAGAAGAGAUAGCACCAAGCUUAUCCCCGGCUCAGUACUAUCGCAGUCUGGCCCUCUGCUCACAACUCUCACA
rnacentral:lncRNA from 1 species